rnacentral:rRNA from 1 species
UUCGGGUUGAGUGGCGGACGGGUGAGUAACGCGUGAGAAUCUGCCUUGGGGUCGGGGACAACCACUGGAAACGGUGGCUGAUACCGGAUAAGCCUUUGGGUAAAAAAUUUAUUGCCCCAAGAGGAGCUCGCGUCUGAUUAGCUAGUUGGUGAGGUAAAAGCUCACCAAGGCAGCGAUCAGUAGCUGGUCUGAGAGGACGAUCAGCCACACUGGGACUGAGACACGGCCCAGACUCCUACGGGAGGCAGCAGUGGGGAAUUUUCCGCAAUGGGCGAAAGCCUGACGGAGCAAGACCGCGUGAGGGAGGAAGGCUCUUGGGUUGUAAACCUCUUUUCUCAGGGAAGAAGCUCUGACGGUACCUGAGGAAUCAGCCUCGGCUAACUCCGUGCCAGCAGCCGCGGUAAUACGGAGGAGGCAAGCGUUAUCCGGAAUUAUUGGGCGUAAAGCGUCCGCAGGUGGCGAUUCAAGUCUGCUGUCAAAGCACGGGGCUUAACUCCGUUAAGGCAGUGGAAACUGAAUAGCUAGAGUGCCGUAGGGGUAGAGGGAAUUCCCGGUGUAGCGGUGAAAUGCGUAGAGAUCGGGAGGAACAAUCGGUGGCGAAAGCGCUCUACUGGACGGCAACUGACACUCAGGGACGAAAGCUAGGGGAGCGAAUGGGAUUAGAUACCCCAGUAGUCCUAGCUGUAAACGAUGGAUACUAAGGUGUAGCU